UGUCCAUUGUUUUAGCAUGUUGCUUCGUUGCCACUACUAGUUUCGUUUUGGACUGUGAAGAAAUUGCUAUGGAGCGUGCGUUACAGUGGUUUCGUUAGCUCUCGCCUUUGUUAUGACACGCCCGUGACGAUCGGGUAAUGACGGCGACUAGUAGCGGUUCUGCCGAAAUGCAUGGGAAGUUGAGGCAACCACGACUGAGGCCACAUCUGAAAGUUGUGUCUCUUAUAGCCCGGCCGCAGCACUGUUAAUAAAUCGUUGGAUGACAUAAGUGGGCUUCGGACAUCAACUCCGCAUAAUUGCUGUGCCCGUAAAGGACUACAUUGUCAACACAUGACAUCUCCCAGAUAUUGAAGCUGUACUCCUGCCUGCAUCCAUCUGACAAGGUUUUGCAAAAAUAUUCAUCGAAAUCAAAAAGAAAACCCUACCUGCGAGCUGGAGAAUUUUUCGAAUGUGUCCUGGUUCU